AGUUACUAAGCAACAUGGAUGCUUCAUGGAGGACCAUGUUUCCCACACCGAUUCAGCUGUUUUUCCUACUUGGGAUUGCUGACAGACAGAAGUUGAGAUAUAUUUAUCCCCAACCCAACUUGCUGGAGUAAUAUGGAAGGAAAAAGCUUGGAAUCAGGAAUGAACAUGGGAGACUGAAACAACCAAUAUCUUCCAGCAUCGAGAAGAUAGAAGAGCUCUCCCUGGCAUUUGACACUACAAGUUGCUUAAUAGAAUAAAAAUACGGACCUUGCCCAGGGAGCAUGAUCUACAUUUCAAAGUAAAAGAAGAUUAAAAAAAAAAAGUUACUUGAUGUUCUGCCAGUGAAAUGAAAUCCUCCGUGGGGAAAGUGACGUACACUGCGUAUCUCUUACUAUCCCAUGGACUAUCAGGAAUAAAGGUCCAUUUACUCAAAAACACUUCUUGAAUAACGUAUCCAAAGAACAGGAGGAAUUAUAGAAAAUAUUAACACUGAAGAAAUGAAUAAUAUGAGAUGACAGUGUAUAAGUUAGAGAGUUGGAGCUGUAACUCUGCCACUCUGAUUCUGGAAUCACUAAUAGUGAUUUCUCAAAGAGUGGUUGCUGGAAGAUCAGCAUCAACAUCACUUUGGAGUUUGUUAGAAAUGCACAUGGACUGAUCAACCCCAGAUCUACUGAGUCAGCGAGUUUGAGUAGAGUUCAAUCCGGGCUUUGACAAGCCGUCCAAGAGAUUUUUUGAUGCCAGCUCAAACAUGAAGACAACUAUGUUCAGCUGUACUGUUUCAGUGCUUAAUGUAGCAGGAGCUGGAUAUAAAUAAAUGACAGAGAUA